rnacentral:rRNA from 1 species
GAGUUUGAUCCUGGCUCAGGAUAACGCUGGCGGCGCACAUAAGACAUGCAAGUCGAACGGACUUAAUCAAUUUGUUUACAAAUUGAAGCGGUUAGUGGCGGACUGGUGAGUAACACGUAAGCAACCUGCCUGUUAGAGGGGAAUAACAAUGAGAAAUCAUUGCUAAUACCGCAUAUGCCAUAGAUAUCACAUGAUAUUAGUGGGAAAGGAGCAAUCCGCUAACAGAUGGGCUUGCGUCUGAUUAGAUAGUUGGUGGGGUAACGGCCUACCAAGUCAACGAUCAGUAGCCGGACUGAGAGGUUGAACGGCCACAUUGGGACUGAGAUACGGCCCAGACUCCUACGGGAGGCAGCAGUCGGGAAUAUUGCGCAAUGGAGGAAACUCUGACGCAGUGACGCCGCGUAUAGGAAGAAGGUUUUCGGAUUGUAAACUAUUGUCGUUAGGGAAGAAAAAAGACAGUACCUAAGGAGGAAGCUCCGGCUAACUACGUG